CAGUAGCCGCGGUAAUACGGAGGAUCCGAGCGUUAUCCGGAAUUAUUGGGUUUAAAGGGUGCGUAGGCGGAUAGAUAAGUCAGUGGUGAAAGACGGUGGCUCAACCAUCGCAGUGCCGUUGAUACUGUUUAUCUUGAAUAUGGAUGAGGUAGGCGGAAUGUGGCAAGUAGCGGUGGAAUGCAUAGAUAUGCCACAGAACACCGAUUGCGAAGGCAGCUUACCAAGGCAAAAUUGACGCUGAGGCACGAAAGCGUGGGGAUCGAACAGGAUUAGAUACCCCUGUAGUCCCUGUCUCUUAUAA
rnacentral:rRNA from 1 species